rnacentral:rRNA from 1 species
GCACAAGCGGUGGAGCAUGUGGUUCAAUUCGAAGCAACGCGCAGAACCUUACCAACCUUUGACAUCCCGAUCGCGGAUACCAGAGACGGUGUCCUUCAGUUCGGCUGGAUCGGAGACAGGUGCUGCAUGGCUGUCGUCAGCUCGUGUCGUGAGAUGUUGGGUUAAGUCCCGCAACGAGCGCAACCCUCGGCCUUAGUUGCCAUCAUUUAGUUGGGCACUCUAAGGCGACUGCCGGUGAUAAGCCGGAGGAAGGUGGGGAUGACGUCAAGUCCUCAUGGCCCUUACAGGUUGGGCUACACACGUGCUACAAUGGCGGUGACAGAGGGACGCGAGGGCGCAAGCCUUGGCAAAUCUCGAAAAACCGUCUCAGUUCGGAUUGGGGUCUGCAACUCGACCCCAUGAAGUUGGAAUCGCUAGUAAUCGCAGAUCAGCACGCUGCGGUGAAUACGUUCCCGGGC